CGUGUUUAUUUACCUUGUUGCUUCGGCGGGCCCGCCUCACGGCCGCCGGGGGGCAUCUGCCCCCGGGCCCGCGCCCGCCGAAGACACCAUUGAACUCUGUCUGAAGAUUGCAGUCUGAGCGAUUAACUAAAUCAGUUAAAACUUUCAACAACGGAUCUCUUGGUUCCGGCGUCGAUGAAGAACGCAGCGAAGUGCGAUACGUAAUGUGAAUUGCAGAAUUCAGUGAAUCAUCGAGUCUUUGAACGCACAUUGCGCCCCCUGGUAUUCCGGGGGGCGUGCCUGUCCGAGCGUCAUUGCUGCCCUCAAGCACGGCUUGUGUGUUGGGCCCCGCCCCCCGGUCCCGGGGGGCGGGCCCGAAAGGCAGAGGCGGCUUCGCGACCGGUCCUCUAGAGUAUGGGGCUUUGUCACACGCUCCUCUAUGCCCGGCCGGCGCCGGUGGCUACCGCCGAUGAAUCUAUCGGGGUUGAUCUCGGAUCAGGUGGGGAUACCCGCGUGAACUUAAGCAUAUCAGGAAGCUGGACGA
rnacentral:rRNA from 1 species